GUCUCUCUGUCUACCUCUCCCUCGAUUCUUCUGUAUUCGUUCUGCCGCAACCUUCCUCAAUAGUUAUAGUCCCUCUCUACUUCGUCUCUCACGCAGGCUGCAGCCUGCCAUGCACAGACCCUCGGCCUCACCUCACUCUCGCCGUCGAACCUCCCCUCCCGCUGCGCUGCCCUCUGAGCCUCUCAUCUCUCACUGAGUCACGACUCACACAGCUCCUCACGCAGCCGACAGCCCCUCUCUCACAUCUCUCUUCUGUCUUCGAUUCCUCACGGAAAACCGGACUGAACUGGACCGGAAUCGGUAAAACAUGAAGUACCGGUUUAGGGGGGUAACUGGUGUGUAAUCGGUUUUAAAAAAUGUAAAACUGGUGUUACCGGUUCGGUCCUAGAUUUUGUCCAAAACUGGACCAAACCGGACCCGUUACACCCCCAUCUACUGUCAUGAGUGGCCUCUCUCAAUGGGAAGCUCCUCCUCGAGGCAAACUGAAGCUAAAUUGAGAAGCUGCCCUCUACAAAACCAAUUGCAAGGUAGGGGUUGGGGCUGUUAUCCGAGAUUGGGAAGGAAAGGUGAGAGCUACUUUGAGAAUGAACCAUGUCCUCUUCCCUGAUCCUUUGCUAGCAGAAGCUUUCGCAGCUUUUCAAGCCUCUUUGUUCUGCAAGACACUAGGGUGGCAGGAUUUGAUCAUGGAGAAGGUGAUUCUUUGCAAGUAGUUAACUGCCUCAAAGCCACAACAGAUAGAGACUCAUAUGUUGGCGUACGGAUCAGGGACACAAAAUCUACUUUAGACUCUUUUACAACUUGGACUGUGAGGCUUACUGUGAGAGCUUGUAAUUCUAUAGCUCAUGCCUUGUGUCAAGAUGCUCUUAAGCAUCAGUAAUAGUAUCUUGUAUGUUGAUUCUAUUCCUCUUUGUAUCCAAACUUUGAUUUAAGUUGAUGUGGAUACAGGAUACUUUCAAAAAAAAAAACAUUUCCACCAUGGGUUUUAUGAUUGCUGUAAAAUGGCAUAUGCAAUCACUCUAGUCUGACACUUUCUAUUGGGCCUUGUAAUUCGAAUGGAUUUUGAUUAUUUAUUAUUGAUUUUAUUUGUCUCUUA